rnacentral:tRNA from 1 species
UUUUUGGAGUCAAAUAGGCUUUUUUUGGGGAUAGAGGGACUUGAACCCUC